rnacentral:misc_RNA from 1 species
GAUUAAAUAAAAAAAAUAAAGAAAUUUAAUUUCUUGAUUUUAGAACUAAAUUUCUUAAUUUUUUGAUUUAAGCCUAAAAAUUAAGAAGUUCAAUUUCUUGAUUUUCUUUAUUUUUGGGCUAAAUUGUGCUUAACUUAAAACUUAUGAGCUAAAUUGAACAAAAAGUUAAAAAUGGGUUAAAUUGAACUUUUCCAAUAAAUAAAGGGAUGUAAUUGAGCUUUAAACCAAUAUAAUAAACAUAAAAACAUCUAAGAUUUAAUUCCAAACUAGUUAGAGUUAGCUAUAUACAUUUUUUUUUUGCUAUUUAGCUUUAUUUGACUAAUUUC